rnacentral:rRNA from 1 species
UACGUAGGGUGCGAGCGUUGUCCGGAAUUACUGGGCGUAAAGAGCUCGUAGGCGGCCUGUUGCGUCCGCUGUGAAAGCCCGGGGCUUAACCCCGGGUCGGCAGUGGAUACGGGCAGGCUAGAGGUAGGUAGGGGAGAAUGGAAUUCCCGGUGUAGCGGUGAGAUGCGCAGAUAUCGGGAGGAACACCGGUGGCGAAGGCGGUUCUCUGGGCCUUACCUGACGCUGAGGAGCGAAAGCGUGGGGAGCGAACAGG